GGAUAUAAGGGAGAUCUGGCUAUGACACCUGCCACACUGUUGGUUAGCAGGAUUGAUUUGGCUGGUCUGGCUGCUUGGGCUACAUGGGUGUCCCCUGCUUCCCUCCCUGUUUCAGUGUGCUCCUCCCAAAGCUGUGUGCUCUGUUGUAGAGGACAACCUUCCCCAAUAGAGAAGGACCAUUCUUUUUUUUUAUGUUUGUUUAUUUUGGGGAGAGAGAGAGAGACAGAGCACGA
ensembl:misc_RNA 7SK 7SK RNA